GAUGAACGCUGGCGGCGUGCCUAAUACAUGCAAGUCGAGCGAACAGACGAGGAGCUUGCUCCUCUGACGUUAGCGGCGGACGGGUGAGUAACACGUGAAUAACCUACCUAUAAGACUGGGAUAACUUCGGGAAACCGGAGCUAAUACCUGAUAAUAUAUUGAACCGCAUGGUUCAAUAGUGAAAGACGGUUUUGCUGUCACUUAUAGAUGGAUCCGCGCCGCAUUAGCUAGUUGGUAAGGUAACGGCUUACCAAGGCGACGAUGCGUGGCCGACCUGAGAGGGUGAGCGGCCACACUGGAACUGAGACACGGUCCAGACUCCUACGGGAGGCAGCAGUAGGGAAUCUUCCGCAAUGGGCGAAAGCCUGACGGAGCAACGCCGCGUGAGUGAUGAAGGUCUUCGGAUCGUAAAACUCUGUUAUUAGGGAAGAACAAAUGUGUAAGUAACUAUGCACGUCUUGACGGUACCUAAUCAGAAAGCCACGGCUAACUACGUG
rnacentral:rRNA from 1 species